CGGGAUCGCAAGAAGGAAUGAAGUUGUUAUUGUAAAGGUUUUGUUAAACCCAAUGGUGAUGAAUGUAACGGGAAGAACAAAGUAAUGUACCUUUUGAGUAAAACUGUUUCUUCAAGAUGUAAGGGUAAACCGAAUUUCAGUAUCUCUUAAUCAUGUUGAUUUCAUUUAUUACUAGUAAUUAGUAGUAAUUAAACAAGGCAUUUAUCAUAUUAUCUAAUGCUUGACUCAGCCACUUCUAAACUUCUUUUGCAACAUUUACCAAAUAUUAGUAGCUCUUGAUAAUAGGCAUGGUCCAUGUAAAUCAGAAAGAAGUAUUGACAGGCUAGUUUUUGUAGAAGUUUAUGCAGAGUGUGGGAUCACAUUCACCUACGUAAUUGUGCUAGAGUAUGAAGGGACCAGGACACCAGAGACGUGUGUGUUUGUGUGUGUGUAUGGCAGGUGUUGAUGGCUGUUAGCACGCCAGUUUGAAUCGCAAGCAUACGGAUCAGUUGUAGCUUUUCCCUUAGAGUAUUUCUCAAGGUUUAUCAAUCCGUGGAAACAAGGUCACAUGAUCUAGACUAAGCAUCAGGAAACAUGAUUCUAGUUGCAAGAUGAUUGUGUAUAAGGAUGAAUAUAGACAUGGAUAGAUAAGAAGCAUCAGCGGAUAUAAACAAGAGAUUACUCAUCUAGAGCAAAGCCUAGACUAUGCAUAUGUUGUAGUUCUAGCUAUAUGGCAAUCAAACACAUGGACCUCAUUCAAAGCAUCUUUUAACCACCACCUCCGGUCUAACUCCAGAAAACCCCCACCUUACACAGUAUUAGAUCCUGUCACGAUCCUACCUAUCAGCGCAAGCAGUCUAAGGGUAUAAACAUAAAGCACAUGUCUAGUUGUUAUGAUAUAUCAAGCAUGAAAAUCUAGUCACCAUGAUUACAAGAACAACCUAGGUAAUCUAGUACGUAAAUAGAUUAGAAUAAGCAAACUCAUAACAGUAGAAAUAAUAAAAGAAGGCAUAUGGAUCGCUAUUAAAUCGGAACUCAUCUACUACUUCACCAUAGAUGAUUGUUCAUCACAAGAUCUCCACCGAGGCCAUACUCGCAACUUAUAAAUCCUAGCUCCAAAACUCUAGCGUGGAUCUUCAUCGCAUGGUGAUCACACCGGCCAAAACCUAGCCUAAGCUAGACUCCGGACAAUUGCACGGCCCUCAGCUCUCUGUAGAUGGUUGUCGCUAAAGUUCCUUGACUUCUUCCGCUUCGAAUCUAAACUCCAAUCCCCG
rnacentral:lncRNA from 1 species